rnacentral:rRNA from 2 species
GUACGGCGAGUGAAGCGGGAUGAGCUCAAAUUUAAAAUCUGGCUGGUUUACUAGUCCGAAUUGUAGUUUAUAGAAGCGUUUUCGGUGGCAGCCUGGGUAUAAAUCCUUUGGAAUAGGGUAUCAUAGAGGGUGAGAAUCCCGUCUUUGACUCAGUGCAUGCUACUAUGUGAUACGUUUUCAAAGAGUCGAGUUGUUUGGGAAUGCAGCUCAAAAUGGGUGGUAAAUUUCAUCUAAAGCUAAAUAUUGGCGAGAGACCGAUAGCGAACAAGUACCGUGAGGGAAAGAUGAAAAGAACUUUGAAAAGAGAGUUAAACAGUGCGUGAAAUUGUUGAAAGGGAAACGUUUGACACCAGUUAUGCGGGUGGAAAAUCAGUCUUUUGCAAUGGGGAGUUGUGGGCGUUCAGACCGCAAGGCUGGCGUUUGCUUCAUCUUUGUUGUAAGUGAUGCACUUUUUCAUUUGCAGGUCAACAUCAGUUUGCUUUGCUGGACAAAACCCCAAGGGAAGGUGGCAGCUUAGGCUGUGUUAUAGCCCUGGGGCGAUACAGUGGAGUGGACUGAGGUUUCGCAGUGUGUGCUCUCGGGCAAGGCUGACUGGGUGCUAUGGGAUCGUUCGGCGUACAAUGCAUGCAUUUUG